CAGUCGCCACGGUAAUACGAAGGGGGCUAGCGUUGUUCGGAAUUACUGGGCGUAAAGCGCACGUAGGCGGAUAUUUAAGUCAGGGGUGUAAUCCCAGAGCUCAACUCUGGAACUGCCUUUGAUACUGGGUAUCUUGAGUAUGGAAGAGGUUAGUGGAAUUGCGAGUGUAGAGGUGAAAUUCGUAGAUAUUCGCAGGAACACCAGUGGCGAAGGCGGCUAACUGGUCCAUAACUGACGCUGAGGUGCGAAAGCGUGGGGAGCAAACAGGAUUAGAUACCCGUGUAGUCCCUGUCUCUUAUAU
rnacentral:rRNA from 1 species